rnacentral:rRNA from 1 species
UACAGGAGGGUGCAAGCGUUGUUCGGAAUUAUUGGGCGUAAAGGGCAGGUAGGUGGUCUUAAAAGUCUACUGUGAAAUCCCUGGGCUUAACCCAGGAAGUGCGGUGGAUACUCUAAGACUUGAGUGCCGGAGGGGUGCGUGGAAUUCCGAGUGUAGCGGUGAAAUGCGUAGAUAUUCGGAGGAACACCAGAGGCGAAAGCGGCGCACUGGACGGCAACUGACACUCAACUGCGAAAGCGUGGGGAGCAAACAGG